rnacentral:rRNA from 1 species
AUCCAGACUCCUACGGGAGGCAGCAGUGGGGAAUAUUGCACAAUGGGGGAAACCCUGAUGCAGCAACGCCGCGUGAGUGAAGAAGUAUUUCGGUAUGUAAAGCUCUAUCAGCAGGGAAGAAGAAGGACGGUACCUGACUAAGAAGCCCCGGCUAACUACGUGCCAGCAGCCGCGGUAAUACGUAGGGGGCGAGCGUUAUCCGGAUUUACUGGGUGUAAAGGGAGCGUAGACGGUUUUUCAAGUCUGAAGUGAAAGCCCGCGGCUCAACUGCGGAACGGCUUUGGAAACUGAGGGACUAGAGUGCUGGAGGGGCAGGCGGAAUUCCUGGUGUAGCGGUGAAAUGCGUAGAUAUCAGGAGGAACACCGGUGGCGAAAGCGCUUUACUGGGCCGUUAUUGACGCUGAGGAACGAAAGCCAGGGUAGCAAACGGGAUUAGAUACCCUUGUAA